AAGCCUAGGUCUUUGAAACCAGAGCAGAGCAUGGGAUUUCCUAUGAUGGAUGUAAAUGGUAGUCCUGUAUAGUACCCAUCCUGGGACUACCUGGUUGCUGGAGCAUCUGAGCGUGGUGAAGCCACUUGCUGCAACAGGGCACUUAAGCACAGCCUGUAGAGCCACGUGUACCGAUCCAGUUGGUAAUUACUGGAGUCAUUUUCUCCAGUCUGGGAGUGAAGUGGUCACGGGAGUCACAUUCUGGGUGAGAAAGAAAAGCUUUGUACAGAGACGUGAGCUUUAAUCAGGGGACAGCAGACAAGCAUUUUAGAAAGUCUCCCCUUGCCUCGCGGUGAUGAAGAAUAAAUGACCCACCAGCAAAUGACUCCCUACGCUACUGCUACAGCUCCCUGGAAAUACCCACAAUGCUUCUGCCUGGAUUUCAAAGAUGGUCUGGGCCUCACUGUGGUCAUUAGUGCUGUAGGAAAAACAGCAGUCGAUCAAUGGAUUGACUCUGGGGAGAUGCUUCCGGGUUUCAUCGCUCUAAGCCACAGUUACAAGAUCAUUUCUACGAGAAAUAAAAUUACUGUGAAUAUUUCUGUACAAGCUUUUGUGUUGCAACAUGGUCCUGUGCCUCCUGGGAAAAGCAGAUAGACAGCAUGGACUCCAACACAGCAGGUUAAAGAGUGUUGAUCUACAGAGCAAUUGGCAAGAGCAUUGGAUUUUCAUUGUUCUUGAUCUGAAAUGCCAAUGUAAGAUGCUCUCUGUUGGACUCAAUCGGCAGAAAACAUCCUGAGCAGGCAAUAUGUACACAGAGAAGGCAAACCAUGCUACGUGAUGGCUGUACUAGAGACUCCUGCCAGACCCUGGCAUACAGUAGCCACUCGAUGCUAAUUCUUCCCAAAGCGUCAUCUCUCAUGUGAAAUCUUCGUCCAAGCUGUUUCUUCCAGGGUGCAGCUCCUGCAAGGCUCUCCAUGCUACAGUGGGUUGUCCUGCACCAAUUCACAUACAGGCAGCAUAGCAUGGACACACUGGGAAACCACAAGAAGUUGAGAGGGAAAGUGGGUGUAACUGAAGGAUGCGAAACUGGGUGAUCAAAACACCUUGUAUCCAUGCAUGAAGUGCUCAAGUAACCAAAGAUUCAGUUGCUAAAUAAAGGGGUAUAAU